rnacentral:rRNA from 1 species
UGGGGAAUAUUGGACAAUGGGCGCAAGCCUGAUCCAGCCAUGCCGCGUGUGUGAAGAAGGCCUUAUGGUUGUAAAGCACUUUAAGCGAGGAGGAGGCUACUUUAGUUAAUACCUAGAGAUAGUGGACGUUACUCGCAGAAUAAGCACCGGCUAACUCUGUGCCAGCAGCCGCGGUAAUACAGAGGGUGCAAGCGUUAAUCGGAUUUACUGGGCGUAAAGCGCGCGUAGGCGGCUAAUUAAGUCAAAUGUGAAAUCCCCGAGCUUAACUUGGGAAUUGCAUUCGAUACUGGUUAGCUAGAGUGUGGGAGAGGAUGGUAGAAGUCCAGGUGUAGCGGUGAAAUGCGUAGAGAUCUGGAGGAAUACCGAUGGCGAAGGCAGCCAUCUGGCCUAACACUGACGCUGAGGUACGAAAGCAUGGGGAGCAAACAGG